GAUGAACGCUGGCGGCGUGCCUAAUACAUGCAAGUCGAGCGAACGGACGAGAAGCUUGCUUCUCUGAUGUUAGCGGCGGACGGGUGAGUAACACGUGGAUAACCUACCUAUAAGACUGGGAUAACUUCGGGAAACCGGAGCUAAUACCGUAUGAUAUUUUGAACCGCAUGGUUCAAAAGUGAAAGACGGUCUUGCUGUCACUUAUAGAUGGAUCCGCGCUGCAUUAGCUAGUUGGUAAGGUAACGGCUUACCAAGGCAACGAUGCAUAGACGACCUGAGAGGGUGAUCGGACACACUGGAACUGAGACACGGACCAGACUACUACGGGAGGCAGCAGUAGGGAAUCUUCCGCAAUGGGCGAAAGCAUGACGGAGCAACGCCGCGUGAGUGAUGAAGGUCUUCGGAUCGUAAAACUCUGUUAUUAGGGAAGAAAAUAUGUGUAAGUAACUGUGCACAUAGUGACGGUACCUAAUCAGAAAGCCACGGCUAACUACGUG
rnacentral:rRNA from 1 species